rnacentral:rRNA from 1 species
GAUGAACGCUAGCUACAGGCUUAACACAUGCAAGUCGAGGGACCGGCGCACGGGUGAGUUACACGUACCCAACUUCCCCUUUACUCGGGGGUAGCCUUUCGAAAGAAAGACUAAUACCCGAUAUAAAAGAUGGGGAUGCGUUCCAUUAGGUUGUUGGUGAGGUAACGGCUAACAAAGCCCUCGAUGGGUAGGGGUUCUGAGAGGAAGGACCCCCACAUUGGAACUGAGACACGAUCCAGACUCCGACGCGAGGCAGCAGUGAGGAAGAUUGGUCAAUGGGCGGUAGCCUGAACCAGCCAAGUAGCGUGAAGGAUGAAGGCUUAUGGGUCGUAAACUUCUUUUAUAGAAGAAUAUGUAUUAUAUGAAUAAGGAUCGGCUAACUCCGUGCCAGCAGCCGCGGUAAUUC